rnacentral:rRNA from 1 species
GACGAACGCUGGCGGCGUGCUUAACACAUGCAAGUCGAACGGAAAGGCCCUGCUUUUGUGGGGUGCUCGAGUGGCGAACGGGUGAGUAACACGUGAGUAACCUGCCCUUGACUUUGGGAUAACUUCAGGAAACUGGGGCUAAUACCGGAUAGGAGCUCCUGCUGCAUGGUGGGGGUUGGAAAGUUUCGGCGGUUGGGGAUGGACUCGCGGCUUAUCAGCUUGUUGGUGGGGUAGUGGCUUACCAAGGCUUUGACGGGUAGCCGGCCUGAGAGGGGGACCGGCGACAUUGGGACUGAGAGACGGCCCAGACGCCUACGGGAGGCAGCAGGGGGGAAUAUUGCACAAUGGGCGGAAGCGUGAUGCAGCAACGCCGCGUGCGGGAUGACGGCCUUCGGGUUGUAAACCGCUUUCGCCUGUGACGAAGCGUGAGUGACGGUAAUGGGUAAAGAAGCACCGGCUAACUACGUG